CCUACGGGGGGCAGCAGUGGGGAAUUUUGGACAAUGGGGGCAACCCUGAUCCAGCCAUGCCGCGUGAGUGAAGAAGGCCUUCGGGUUGUAAAGCUCUUUCGGCCGGGAAGAAAUCGCUCAAGCUAAUACCUUGGGUGGAUGACGGUACCGGAAGAAGAAGCACCGGCUAACUACGUGCCAGCAGCCGCGGUAAUACGUAGGGUGCGAGCGUUAGUAGGAAUUGCGGAGCGUAAAGCGUGCGCAGGCGGUGAAAUCCCCCGGCUUAACCUGGAAACUGCGGUUGUGACUGUGGUGCUGGAGUGCGGCAGAGGGGGGUGGAAUUCCACGUGUAGCAGUGAAAUGCGUAGAGAUGUGGAGGAACACCGAUGGCGAAGGCAGCCCCCUGGGUCGACACUGACGCUCAUGCACGAAAGCGUGGGGAGCAAACAGGAUUAGAUACCCGAGUAGUC
rnacentral:rRNA from 1 species